GCCGGUGUAGCUCAGCGGUAGAGCGGCUGCUUCGUAAGCAGUAGGUCGGAGGUUCAAAUCCUCUCGCCGGCU
rnacentral:tRNA from 1 species